rnacentral:misc_RNA from 1 species
GAAAGAGAAUUAAAAGGUUUCAUUCAAUCCAUUCUAAUAUAAUUUGUUGCAUAAUUCUCUGGUAAAUUUCCUUAGAAGAGUGUUUUAAGUCUUCCUCAUACAAGAAUGUAAAGAAAAGCUAACGUUGGAAUUGAUUUCUUCUUCGUCUAACCCAUUAGAAUAGACCUCAGUGAUUCCACUAGAACAUGGUGAAGUUGGUUGGGGAGGACCCAUAUCAGAGCUUUCUUCCAUUGUGAACUCCACAAAACUUGGACUGUUCACCUCGUGAGUAGUUUGAUUGGUGUUUGAAGGCUUAGAAAUGAUUAUCCCUUGUUUUCUAGGUCUCCUUUUCCUCUGAAACACACGGUAGACAACCCAUUCUCCUAAUUUCAUCUUAGCUGCCUGGGUUAGGUUGGGGAUUGUUCCUAAGCCUACAAGGCGAUAUUCAUGCAUGAUCCAUUGAGUUUUAGAGUCGUUAGAAUGCUUCCCCUCGCAGAAAAUCAGAGUUUUCCUCGUUCCAAUUACGUGGUUGCUCAAAGAAGCAACAAUUUGUCUGUCUUUGCCAAUAGGCUUCCAGUAACCAGAAGCAGCAGCUCUCUUGCAUCUGUUUUCACUGUCAUUUCCCCAUUUUCUGCCAAAGAAGUACCUCUUUUCCUUCAAAUCACCUGUCAAGCUCCAAGGAUCAUGUUGGAAUACAUCAAGCUCAGGAAUAAUAGAAGCAGGUAAUGGAACACCACAGGCCUUUCUUCUCAAGUAAUGAACAAGAAGCUCUUCAUCUGUAGGAUGAAACCUGUACCCAACGGGCAAUUUGAUUCCACCAUUCACAG